CACAGUCCCUGUACAGGGUUCCUAAUCUAUGGGUAGAGAUAAUAUUUAUUCUUGAUAAAUUUGGCAAAAUUGAGACUAGGAUAUGGUACUUUGGCAAAAGUGUUCUGCUAUCAUAACAAGUGGCAUAUGUCUGUAAAGCAACUGUUUUCAGAAUGGACAUCUCUCACUAUCUGCAUAUUUGAGAAAGUUCAGGAUACAGUUCAGAGGCGUUCAUGUAAGGCAUUCAGAAAGAAAAGCCGGCAUAAACAUGAGAAGGAAACCACUCUUGUCAGAAAAAUCCUCGGUGGGAGCAAAACUGGAUUUUUGAAACUUGGGAAGAUAAAAUACCUAUAAGUUUUAAAAAACAAGGCCCUCAGUGACACAGGUGACCUUGUACAGAACUCAGUGCAAGAUUUCUAAGAUGCAAAACGAGGCUAGAAAGAAGGCAAGUGACAUCAGGGAGAAACUAACAUUUCAGGUUAUGGAGUUUAGUGAAUAAUAUAUAUUUUUUCUUUUUUUAAUUAUUUCAAUAGUUUUUGGGGAGCAGGUGCUGUCUGGUUACAUAGAUAAAUUUUUUAGUGGUGAUUUUUGAGAUUUUGGUGCACCCAUCAUCCAAGCAAUAUACGCUGUACCUAAUAUGUAGUCUUAUCCCUCAUCCCCCUGUCCCAUCCUUUCCCCUGAGUCCCCA
rnacentral:lncRNA from 1 species